rfam:Dipodomys ordii contig_54655, whole genome shotgun sequence.
GGUGGCUCAGUGGUAGAGUACUUGCCUUGUGUGCAUGAGGCCCUGGGUUCAAGUCCUUAGCACCA